GACGAACGCUGGCGGCGUGCUUAACACAUGCAAGUCGAACGAAGUGGCGAACGGGUGAGUAAUACGUCAGUAACCUGCCCUCCUUUUUGGGAUAAGCCUUGGAAACGGGGUCUAAUACCGAAUAAAGGGGGAUGGGCUCGCGGCCUAUCAGCUUGUUGGUGGGGUAAUGGCCUACCAAGGCGGCGUCGGGUAGCCGGGCGGAGAGGGGGGACGGACACAUUGGGACUGAGACACGGCCCAUACUCCUACGGUAGGCAGCAGUGGGGAAUAUUGCACAAUGGGCGGAAGCCUGAUGCAGCGACGCCGCGUGGGGGAUGACGGCCUUCGGGUUGUAAACUCCUUUCACCAUCGACGCGGUAGAUGGAGAAGAAGCACCGGCUAACUACGUGCCAGCCACCGCGGUAAUUC
rnacentral:rRNA from 1 species